GCCUGGGUGGCUCAGUUGGUUGAGCGUCCGACUUCGGCUCAGGUCAUGAUCUCAUGGUCCGUGAGUUCGAGCCCCGCGUCAGGCU
rnacentral:tRNA from 1 species